rnacentral:antisense_RNA from 1 species
CUCAAUGGUGGGCUGAGCGGGGGCACCGCAAGGUGCGCCGGUUUCCGAUAAGGCCGGUAAUGCUAACUCCGUUCAGCCCGCCACCAGU